UGUCAUUUGAAUUGGAUUUUCGAUGUCUGUCCACCGCCGUCGGUUUCAUUUCUCUUUAAUUGGUUUCCAACACCGCCCAAACUUGGGGUCGCAGAUACAUCAUUUAAUGUUAAUAGGGAUUUUCAACAACCUGAAUACGGCCAUUGCCACAGCCAUACCUAGGGGGCAGAGUUAAUUGAUGUCAUUUGAAUUGGUUUCCAACACCGCCCAAACUUGGGGUCGCAGAUACAUCAUCUUAUCUUAAUAGUUUUUCAGGAAUUGCGACAACCGGACGAUGACCAUUACCUCCGCCACAGGCUGUAGGGGGCGCAGUUUCUCUCUUCUCUCCAUAAUUCGUGAAUCCUGUCAGGUCCUCGACUACCGCCGCCAUCCCUAGGGUUGAAUCUACGUGCGUCACGACGUGAGUGUAAUUCCGUCGGACUGGCCACCACUACGAUCGCCAACCCUACGGUCGUACUUUGUUUCAUCUCGUCUUAAUCGAAUUCGGACAACCGGACGAUGAGCAUCACCUCUCUUCAUAAGUCGUGAAUCCUGUCAGAGGACCUCGACUACCACCGCCAACCCUAGGGCUGCAUGUACGUGCAUGACGUCAUAAGCGGAGUUUGUUUCUUUGUUUUUCAGUAAUUCAUCCGACUGACGACCACUACGAUCGCCAAUCCUAGGGUCAUAUUGUAUUUCAUCUCGUCUGAAUCGAAUUCGGACAACCGGACGAUGAGCAUCACCUCUCUUCAUAAUUCGUGAAUGCUGCGAGGACCUCGAUUACCGCCGCCAUCCCAGGGGUUGAAUCUACGCGCAUCGCGUCAUAAGCGUAAUUCAUCCGACUGACGACCACUACGCCCGCCAAUCCUAGGGUCAUAUUGUAUUUCAUCUCGUCUUAAUCGAAUUCCGACAACCGGACGAUGAGCAUCACCUCUCUUGAUAAGUCGUGAAUCCUGUCAGAGGACCUCGACUACCACCGCCAACCCUAGGGCUGCAUAUACGUGCACGACGUCAUAAUUGCGCUGCACUGCGCCGUGCUGAGCUCAAGAGAUGCGUCCUGGCGCCA